UCCGGUUGAUCCUGCCGAAGGCUACUGCUAUUGGAGUUCGAUUAAGCCAUGCGAGUCUAAGGGAUACUUGUAUCCCUGGCAUAAUGCUCAGUAACACGUGGAUAAUCUGCCCUCAGGUGAGGAAUAAACCCGGGAAACUGGGGCUAAUACCUCAUAGACACAGAAAGCUGGAAUGCUUCUGUGUUCAAAGCUCCGGCGCCUGAGGAUGAGUCUGCGGCCUAUCAGGUUGUAGUCAGGGUCAUGACCUGACUAGCCAACGACGGGUACGGGGUGUGAGAGCACUUGCCCGGAGAUGGUUUCUGAGACACGAAACCAGGCCCUACGGGGCGCAGCAGGCGCGAAAACUUCGCAAUGCGGGAAACCGUGACGAGGGAACUCCAAGUGUCUAUGCAUUGCAUAGACUGUUUUUUAGCCUAAAUAGCUAAAAGAGUAAGAGGUGGGCAAGACCGGUGCCAGCCGCCGCGGUAACACCGGCACCUCGAGUGGUAGCCACUAUUAUUGGGCCUAAAGCGUUCGUAGCCGGUUUGGUAAAUUCUUGGGUAAAUCGUACAGCUUAACUGUGCGGAUUCCGGGGACACUACCAGACUUGAGACCGGGAGAGAUCAGAGGUACUUGUAGGGGAGCGGUGAAAUGUUGUAAUCCUACAGGGACCACCAGUGGCGAAGGCGUCUGAUCAUAACGGCUUUGACGGUGAGGAACGAAACCCUGGGGCGCAAACGGGAUUAGAUACCCCGGUAGUCCAGGGCGUAAACGCUGCUGACUUGGUGUUGGAGAUCCUACGAGGGUGUCCAGUGCUGGCGCGAAGGCAUUUAGUCAGCCGCCUGGGGAGUACGGUCGCAAGACUGAAACUUAAAGGAAUUGGCGGGGGAGCACUGCAACGUGUGGAGCGUGCGGUUUAAUUGGAGUCAACGCCGGA
rnacentral:rRNA from 1 species